rnacentral:tRNA from 1 species
UCCCAGGUGGUCCAGUGGCUAAGACUCUAUGUUCCCAACACAGGGGGCCUGGGUUUGAUCCCUGGUCAGGGAA